rnacentral:pre_miRNA from 1 species
UGGACAUAUUAUUGUAUUCGACUGUAUUCACGGCGUGAAACAGGGGAUUACACUGUUUUUAAAUGGAAAGUGAAUCAAUUAACAUAAUAGACUCCU